UUCCUCUCCUACAUCCCACCGCUCAAAAACACCACGUAUAGAGUUUUCUGAUUUUUUCCUCUUCCCUAUCCACCAAUCCACCACCAGACCGCCCUUUCCCGCGAUGAAGCAGAGGACGCCGGUGGGGGCGACGUCGGGGCGGAGCAGGAACAGCCAGGGACGACGACCUUGGGAGCGGGGCAGGCGCGGGCCGGCGACGGCGACCGCGGGGCAUGGCAGCCGCGUGCCAGGAUGGCUCCCUUGGGGCGGAGCAGGCGCGGGGGCCCGGGGAAGAGCACGCGCGGGCUCGCGGCGGCUCGGGGCGAAGCAGGCAGGGACUGGCGGACCGUGGGGCGGGGCAGCCGCGUGCCAGGGACGGCGCCCAUGGGGCGGGCUGGCGGGGGCCUGGGACGGCGACCUUGGGCCGGUGGCAGCGCGUGCCUGGGGUGGAGCAGGCAGGGCCAGCGGCCGCCACGUCGGGGUGGAGCAGCCAGUGGCCAGCGGCGGCCACGUAGGGGCGGAGCAGCCAGCGGCCGACGGCGGAGAAAAACGGCGCUGGCCGGAUAAAGAAGAAACAAUAGGUUAAAGCUCUUCCUCACACACUGCCCUCCCCAUGUUUGUUGUUAUGUUUCUUAGAUUUGAAACUAUUUUUCUACGGGUGAUCUCUUCUCUAGAUUGCAAGUAUUGUUGCCUUCUCUGUUCAUUCUGCUACAUACUUUUGUGGCAGUAAGUGCUAAUGCAAGGAUAAGAUCAUUUGACUUCCCUUUUUGUUUCCCUACGUGUACCACAUGCAUUAAUAAUUUAAUAGGUUUAGUGGCGAUGAUUUUGGUCUUCAGGAUUUAAAUGAUAUUUUGUUAAUUUUCUUAUGAUGUAAACCUGAACCUGGCUCAAAAAGAUUGAGGUAACUAAUUGAGAUGAACAGAAAGCCUCUCUGUAUCUUUUUUCCUGUUCAUUGUGUGCUGAAAAUAAUCACUGAGUACUACUGCUUGAUUUGAGACAUACCGAUGGUAGAACAUAAUAAGUGGGAUUUUUGUUCUGCUGAGAUGGUAGUGUAUCCUAGCUACCUUACACAUGUUAAUGCCAGCAUACCAUGAGCUGACCCUUCCUUUUUUGUUGGAAUAGGUGUAUGAAAUGAAUUUAGAGGUUUACAGUGGGUGAUGCUGGUGUUAAGGAUUUAAAUGACAUUUUGCCUUUUUUCUCUUGAUGUAGGGAUGAACUUGGUAGAGUGAGGUAAUUAAUUGAGAUGAACAUAAAUCCUGUAUUUUUUGCUUUCAUUUUUGCUGUUCAUUUUCUGCUGAAAAUUAUCACUGAAUACUACUACUUGAACUAAGCGGGUAUCUGCUGGCAUGCUAGGCUAGGUAAGAUUUUCAGUGCAGGUGCUCACACAUUGAUUUGAUCUCAUUAGGGUAGUAUGCAUGUUGCCAUGGAGCAACUCCAUGUAGACCAAAGCAAAGAGCAUGGUCAGAAGAGCAGUUGUGCAAUCAUGGAGAGCUUUCUCACAGGAUUGUCGCUAGGGGCAACUACAAGAAUGAGAUCAUGGUAUGCUACAAAAUUAGGACAUAUCCCAUUUUAAAGUUAUUUAUGUGUUCAUAUAGCAGUAAAAUUACUUGAUGACCUUCUCUAGAAAAAAUCGGUUAUCUAUAGUCCCACGAAGUGGUAAUGCAAUAUCAGGUUCACACUAUAGUAUUUGCAUGGUCUACAAAGCUCCUUCUUGAAUAAGUGCUCACAUGCCUUUUUUCUGCCACCGCAAUGAAAAUUACUAUUUUCAGCAUCGGCAUGAAAAAACAAUUUCUCCAACAUCAAAUUUGCUCCCUCCUGACAGCGGUUAGAACUAGGUUGUUGAAUGUACUUAUGGUCCCUGUGAUGAUCUUCGUAUUUUAGGUUAUCCAUAAAUGGAAAUAACAUCAAGAAAAACAUUAGUGUAUACUGUCUUUAGCUUAAUUUUUUUAGGUUCUCUCUUAUUGCAUGUCAUCAGCAGAUCACUGUGUCUAAUACACAUGCAGGUGGAUUUAGGGAAAUAAGACCAAUUAAAUAGUUUGCUAUAUUAUUGUGAGCAACUACAUCAUUUUAUAUAUUCAUAUCGUUUCCUGUUUGAAACUGUUUCGAUAGAGCUAUUUAAAUUACAUGUUAAUUUUGCAGCUUGAUGUUCCUCUUUAAUCUCCCAUCUAGGUAGACUAGGGUUUUCGUACUACCUUUUAUGGGUUUACUACAAGGUACAAGUUUAAUAUUUAUCUUAAUGAUGUUUUGGCAUGCUUUCCUAUUUAUUGUGAGAUGCUUAAUUGUAGGCAAGCGUGUUUGCUGGUCUUGGACAACGUCCAACUUCUCUGCCUGGGCCUUUGUUUGUCCUGCUUUCGCAAUUCGGUGAUUCUACACUAGCUGUUAUCAUUGGCUUUGAUGUCCAGCGUUUUUCCGUUCCAUUUGUUGAUCAUGCUGGGGAGCCUUCUGCUACUCAUUCUUCUAUGGAUACGGAUGUUCGGAAGAGCACAAUUCGUCUUGUUGUUCAGCCUGGAGAUUAAACUGAACUACAUGCAAGUGUGUUCAUGGUAUCAAUCUUCAAUUUGAGGCACUCACCAAAAACAUGGGUGAAGGAAGUUUCUUGGAUGCAUUGAGAUCUCCAGAGAGGAAGACAGCGAGCAGCAGUGCCUAGGGGAGCAAGGCUUGGGCGUGCCCAAAUGCUGGAGCUUGAGCUUGGCCUGAAGGCAACGAGGACAGUGGUCAGGUCGAUCUGUGUCGCCGACGGCGGUUAUGCAUGAUCACUAAGCAGCCUCAGCAGAGUCGGGAAAGAAGAGCCCCGAUCUCCCUAAAGAGCUGCGUGAAAAUCAAAUCGAUCGCAUAGGGGAGGCCAGCAGAAGAAGGUCACAUGGUACAGCGCAAUCUGGAAAGGAUGAACUCACGCUAGACAGAUGUCGGCGACGUAGAAGAUGAUGUUGAUCUCAUAGGCAGCAGAACAACCCAAAGGUUGUGCAUGUUAAAAUUUCUUGGAUGGAAGGAAUGCACAAGAGACGGUAAAAUCAAUGGUAUAACAUGCAGAGCUUGAUGAUUAGUUGUUGGAUUGGAUUUGGAGGUCUAAGACGGUAAUUUUUUUUUGGCUGUGUGCAUCGCUUGAUGCAGAGGCCGGGGCAUCGCUCCCAUAUCGAAAAAAAAAGAUGAUGGGGUUUUGCUCUGGCCUGAGAGGGGAAUGAAAAGAAUCCGUCCAGAGUGGGUCGUCUCAGAGUGGUAAUGAAAAACAAGAGCAUGAGUUUGCCAAACAGUAGUCAGUAGGUACAGACCUAAGGCCUAAGUGACAGCAAUCCUCCACCUCUCCCUGAUACUUGAGUGUGCCAGAUCUGCUGUACGCUCCACGACAAACACAGGAGUAUAUUUUCCUUUUUCAGAGCUCCCAUCACCAAAAAAAACUGAAUUAAAGGGUUUUGGAGAUGACAGUGUAGUAGUUACUUUUCUCUGUUUUCUUUUGGCUAUUUUUUUAAAGAAUGUUUUCUGUUGGCCAAUGAGGCUGUAAUCAACUUACUAAAUUUUUAGUUUUACCUGCCUUCUGUUUUAACCAGCUAAUUUAGUGCUGAUAAGAGCUACGGCUUGAUGCAUUUAA